AGACGUGGUGGGGAGUGAGAUUAAAACAACGCUCAUGUUUUCCUAGAGGUUCCGUUUUACUUGGAGCAAGAAACGAGACGAAAAGUGCCUUAAGUACGGAGGUAAACAAAAAAAAAUCUUCAAGAAGUCCAUGAAAAUGACCAGAUUUACUAGACCCGGCCCUGCCAGAGUAAACAAUAAAAGCUGAGAGUCCUGAGCUGAACAGUAGGUUUGACACAAACUCAGCUGCAAACAAGACUCAGAUCAGCUGAGCUGCCUGGAAGAGGUUCGGCCACCCCAGGCACCUGGAAAGGACGCUCUCCAACCAGCCGGCUGAGCUCCCUGCAGGCUGAGCAGCGUGCUCCAGGUUUCCAGCUUUGGGAGCUGUUAACCUGUGCGGGUGUGGGCUUCAGUGAUGCAGUAAGUAACCCUUCACCCGUGUUCCUGUCAUAACCACAAUAAAACUCAGUAGUUCUCCAA